UACACCAUCAAUAACAAGAGGGACUACAAGGAUCCUUUGAUCCACAAGUACUGCAAAGUGGAGAGUAGCCAAGCUGAGCUGUCAAAGGCUAUCAAAGGAUCUGCCGGACACGUCACAAAACUUCUCCCAGUGCCUUCUUUGCCAAAUGGUGCCUCCCAGCCAAAGAGACCUCAACUCAAGUUUGAAAGAGGUUUUUGGAGAAUUUGACGCGGCAUCGGGGGAGCUGUCACUGACCAGCAGCUUGAUCAGACUGGUCC